UUCAAGAAUGCACAAGAGAGAGGCAAAGAGUAAACACACAUCAAAUGAAAGGGUCACCUGCAUGCUGUUGAUUGGGCAUGGUCUGAGAUUAGAGUGAGUGGUCUGGGGUGACCUAGGAGGGUCAUCUGGAGAAGGAGGUGUUCAUACUGGUACAAAGAAGAGACUGGAGAGCUCCUAAAGUGAAGGCUCCAGUCUGAGCAGAGGCUGUGAUGUGGGGUGUUUGGAACAUGAUAACAUGAUGUCAGGAGACAAGGAACACCCAGAGGGUAGGAGUGUCUGAGAAUCGGGGGUGGACACUGCAGCCAGGCCUGCCCUAACCUUCCCUGCUUGGUCCCUGUAGAUGUUCUACUUUGGAAACAUCAGCAUUGGAACACCCCCUAAAGAGUUCAGCGUCCUCUUUGACACCGGCUCCUCUGACCUCUGGGUGUCCUCUGUCUUCUGCCACGAUCCAGGCUGUAGUGAGCACCAUUUUCCUCCCCUUGCCCUUCUUGUACUCCCCCUUUCACUUCCUUCUUGGUUCUUGGCACAUGACAGACCCUCAUCUUUUGUGUCUGCAGGUAAACACAGACUCUUCAACCCUCAUGGGUCUACCACCUUCCAGAUGACAGACCGUCACAUGCACUUUUGCAAUGAGCUUGGGGAUGUCACUGGGUUUUUUGGCCGUGACAUUGUUCGGGUAAAGUGGAAACAGAAGCAGAGUCAUGACUGGCCCUGGGAGCAACUGCUGCUUAUAAAACAGAUGCAAGGCUAGAUGACAAGACCCAUCCUCCCCAAAGUCCCUUAGAUAUUUGAGGCCCAUUCCAAAUAACCCUGUCCCUAGGGAGAGGCAUCCUUGCUAACAGAAUCUCUCAGAGUGGCUAACCCAGAGAGUAGCUUGGGGUGUGGACUUGCAGCUCCUUUGCCCUUGAGAAGCUCAAGGUUUAUUUUGCUGGGAGCAGGGAGAGAUGGGGGAAGAUCAUCACUUUUAUCUUCUCAGAAUGUGCCGGGCACUUUCAUGGUAAUAGUUAUUUAACCCUGCAACAACACCAUGCAGCAGGUACUUUUAUUAUUUUCAUGAUACAGGUAGGGGAACUAAGGUGCAGAAAGCAAGGGCCUUGCAAAGUUCACACAUGUGGUAGGUGGUGGAGCUGGGCUGGUCAGUCAGGAUUCAAGCAUGUGUUGGAUAUUUGGGGAGAGGAUAAAACUGAUCUGGAGCCCCUAGGGGCAGCCAAGGGCUUCAGGUAUCCAGGCAGAGAAAGCAGGUGGGCACACAUAUUGGAGGAGCCUGUUAGGGUUCUCACUCUAGGGGGCCUCUGAGAGUCAAAUAAAAACUAUGGCCCACUUCCACCAAAGUGCCUGAGUAUUUUCCCUCUCUAGCUUGUUCUCUCUCACUUAUACACAUACACAUACACCCACAUCCCCCAAAGCCUGUUUUCCCAGCAGAGUUUUCAUAAGAACCUAGCCAGCGACCUUGUAUAAUGGGCUUACAUCUUCCUGGGCAGAUGCAGAAUCCAUGAUGCAUUGCAAUGAAUUCAGUCCAUUUCUGUUAUCAGAUCGCAGUGAUGCCAAAGAGAAGACUACCUUGCUCUCUACCCACUUUUUCCUCAGGUGGGAACCAUUUGGUCUUGUCCUGAGUCUUGGUUACCCCACCUGUACCGAAGUCAUGAGGCCAAUUUGACUCACUCAGAUGGUGUUUGCAGGACAAGCAGGUGUUGUUAAAAUCCACAUCCCCACACCAAUGGAAACCGAGUUCCUGUCCCAGAUUGGUCUAACUAUCUGAGAUCAACCCAAGGUACAGCCAGGCCUCAGUUCUUCUCUGCAGUGCUAAUGGUAUCUCCUCCCCAGCCCCACUUCACAAUACUUUAUGUGGGAACACUCUCCUCUCCCACAGAUCGGAGACCUUGUCAUCAUGAACCAGACUUUUGCCCUGACCUACAGGCAGAUUAGCAAGAUCCUGCCAUUUGUACCUUUUGAGGGAGUCCUGGGUUUGGGCUACCCCAGCCUCACCACCUCCAGGAUCAUCCCUGUCUUUGACAGCCUGAUGCUACAAAAAGUCAUUUCUGAGCCCGUGUUUGCCUUCUACUUGAACAACAAGAAGAAGAAUGGCAGCGUGGUGAUGCUUGGUGGGGUGGACCAUUCCUAUUACAAGGGAGAACUCAACUGGGUACCAGUGUCCAAAUCUCUCUACUGGCAGAUAACUGUGGACCGUACUUGAUUUCAUGUCACGUCCAUACUACAAUCCCUCCUAUCGUUUUCACCAUCAAUGGCAUUGACUACCCAAUGCACCCUGAAGACUACAUCGUGACGAGUACUUGCAACCUCUGCUUCAGCGCUUUUCUAGGAGGCACAGAGAAAGUGACCAAAUCAGAGACCUGGAUACUGGGUGACGCCUUCCUGAGGCGGUAUUUCUCGGUUUUCGAUUGAGGAAACCACAGAAUUGGCCUGGCUCCCGCAGUGUAAAUGCUGGGCUGCUACAGAAAUCAAUCAGGCCCACUCCAAGUACACACUCACUCACAUGUAGGGCACUCCCUCCCAGGAAUGCUGGGGAACUGUGUUUGUUGCUCUGCAAAACCCUAUUCUCAGUAAAGAAUAAAGGAUUUUAUCUCA